AUUGAACGCUGGCGGCAGGCCUAACACAUGCAAGUCGAACGAGUGGCGGACGGGUGAGUCAUGUCUGGGAAACUGCCUGAUGGAGGGGGCUAACUACUGGAAACGGUAGCUAAUACCGCAUACCCUCAGAUGUGCCCAUAGGGGAUUAGCUGGUUGGUGGGGUAACGGCUAACCAAGGCGACGCUCCCUAGCUGGUCGGAGAGGAUGACCAGCCACACUGGACCUGAGACACGGUCCAGAGUCCUACGUGAGGCAGCAGUGGGGAAUAUUGCACAAUGGGCGCAAGCCUGAUGCAGCCAUGCCGCGUGUAUGAAGAAGGCUUUCGGGUUGUAAAGUACUUUCAGCGGGGAGGCGUUACCCGCAGAAGAAGCACCGGCUAACUCCGUGCCAGCAGCCGCGGUAAUAC
rnacentral:rRNA from 1 species